UACCAGCACCCCGAGUGGUCGGGACGAUUAUUGGGCCUAAAGCAUCCGUAGCCGGUUUUACAAGUCCUCCGUUAAAUCCAGCUGCUUAACAGAUGGGCUGCGGAGGAUACUAUAAGACUAGGAGGCAGGAGAGGCAAGCGGUACUCAGUGGGUAGGGGUAAAAUCCGUUGAUCCAUUGAAGACCACCAGUGGCGAAGGCGGCUCACUGGACUGGUACUGACGCUGAGGCGCGAAAGCGUGGGGAGCAAACAGG
rnacentral:rRNA from 1 species